GAUGCGACGGGGUAUUGGCGCGGUUCAAUUCGAGAGGUUGCGCCCCGGAAGGCCACCAGGGGCUCUGCUCUCUGAUUGAGCCGUGCCAAUAUCACGUCGCCUUCA
rnacentral:pre_miRNA from 1 species